AUAACAGGAUGUUUUUUGUCUGUUGUAGACUUUCUUACAGAUCUGGGUACUUCACCUCUGCUCUUCUGUUCCCUAGCAGUGAACUAGAGUGAUUGGAGAACCUUCUGCAUGCCUUGAAGUUUCAUGAACAGCUUGUGAAAUGCUCCAAAACCUUUAGCUGCAUAAGAAAGAAGUGUUGAGAGCUGCUCUUAACCCUUUUGGAGGCCUAAGUCAAAAGACUGCCUGAAGUUACAUUGUAGAUGCUGAAAUCACUGCACCUUAAAAACAAAAAGAUUAAGCCACACUGCAUUCCUAAUGUUGGAAUUUCUGGACUGUGCAUCUGUUUAGGCACGUGGAGAAAGACAAGACUGAGAUCAUGUAAGUCAUGAAACUGAGGGUGAAUAAUCCAUACUUUGUUCUUUCACCAUUUUUUCAAUUUAUACCCAGAUGCAAGUAAUAAACCAAAACGAAGAAAAAAC
rnacentral:lncRNA from 1 species